GUUGGGUCAUUUUGAACAUGGGAAUACUUUGACAUCGCACAUCACUUUGGUUUCUCCCCCACAGGAAAGCCGCGACAUCCUCUAUUGGAGGAGCGGCACUGGGUGGAAGCUGCGUCCAAGAGCCCGUUGAUAUCUGCUGGCAGAGCCACCCGAGCAAGUCAUGCAGCCAUCAUGCGCUGUUGUAAAUGGUAAGGAGAACGAGCAAGUUAGCUGAAGCUUGCUGUCCUUCCCAUUGGCUUGCAAGAGCAAAGGGAGAUGAGGGCACUGCACCCCAAAAGGAUCAAGUAACUGUCCGGAGCUCUUUCUGUAUCUGAAGCCAUCAGCAGUUUUCUUAUGUAG
rnacentral:lncRNA from 1 species